GUCUAUGGCCAUGCCACCCUGAACAAGCCGUAUGUCUGAUAUUGGAAGCUAAGCAGUGUUGGGCCUGGUUAGUACUUGGAUGAGAGACCACCUAGGAAGACAAAGUCCUGUAGGCG
rnacentral:rRNA from 1 species